rnacentral:tRNA from 1 species
CACCGUACCGGUUCGAUUCCGGUCCUCGGCACCAUUUUCAAUAAAAACAUAUGCGCCCGUAGCUCAAUUGGAUAGAGCGUUUGACUACGGAUCAAGAGGUUAUGGGUUCGACUCCUAUCGGG